rnacentral:lncRNA from 1 species
GUAUUCUGGAAGCCCAGGGAAGAAUGUCUUUCAAGGAAGAGAGAUAAAUAAUUGGGUCAAAUGCUGAUAGAAGGUCAAGGAGAAUGAGUCCUGAGAAUUGGCCAUUGGGUUUAACAACAUGGAGGUCACUGGUGAUUCUGAGUAGACGGAUGAAUGUAUGAGUAAAACCAAACAUGAAGGGGCAGAGGAAAACGGCACAUCACAGGGUGCUAUAUUCUAGGCUGCUGUCCUAGACAUGUCAAUCAUAGCACCCCCGUGAUCCCUGUCGCCUUCUAAAACACAGCUCUACCUAUGCGGACCCAGGCUAUUGCCCACACAUGGUGAUCUUAUUCAGUACCAUGUGGCACGGCAGCCAUCGGCCUGGGGGGGCCCUGACAUGAAAGCGCCGAUGCCUAUCAGAUUACCUGUUAGCGAUACACAGAGAGAGAGGCUGAAAUCAGUGGCCUCUGAAGCUGGAAGAGUGCACAAGGAGAGGUUAUGAGGUAGAAGGCCGUGACGGACCAUGAGCGGGCUGACGUUUCAAAAGAGGCAGAAAUCGUGAGCAUGGAGCACAACUUAUGGCAUGGAAAAGUGCCACGCAAAUUGUGGAGUGCAGUGGCUCCCUGGUAGCAGGAGGAGAAGUGAGAAAUCCCACAGGAAGAAGCAGAGAUGGAGAAAGUGGCCGAGUCACAGCAGGGUGGGAUGCUAGCGUCAAGAUCCACAAAGCACUGCCCUGUUUCCAGAACCCCCACCAGUCCCAGUCCCUCAUGAUGACUCCUGCCUGCCAACUGCCUCAAGAUUCUUGUUCCCCCAUCGCUAAUCAACCGGAACCAUGAUCCUCCUGGACGAUUCUCCCCUGAAAACUGGAAAUUGGCAUAACCUUUAAAAAGAGCCAAGAAGAAAUGCAGUGUUGCUUCCGUUUCUACUGUGAGCCCAAGGUAACAGUGCCAGACUGGCCACCUUGGUGAAAGCCCUUUUCCUCUGCUGGGCUGGCCCCUCUGCCAGGAAGUACAUUUGCCGGCCCUGAUGUUUACCUGGCCAGCUGACCUGCCCUUACCCACCUUAGCUGGUUCCUGGGGCCACUGUCUCCUCCAAGCCUUGCAGACACCUGGUCUCCUCACCCAGGUAUCCUCCUCAUGGGCUGGGAACACCUCAAAGGCAAUUGAGCGGGGCCAGUGGUGUUCUGUCCCCACCUGCUGCCAGACUGGGGAACAGUGCCUGCAGAGGAGGCCACAGGGAGGGGUGGGAACCGCCUGGGCUGCUGGAUUGCAGAGACCGGCCUCCAGGGACUGAGGAGGAGCGUCCAGCUCUGUGUCUUCUCAGCGGCGUGAACUUGGGCACAAAGCCAACACAUCACGGAGCCUCAGUUUCCUCAUCUGUAAACCUGACAAUGCCUACUUCAGAGGUUUCUGCGAGGUCUGAUGAGAUCAUGCGACACAGACUGCGCCUUCACUAAGCGCUGGCUCUCCUCUUGGCUGUCAACCAUCCCAUUUACAUGCCUCCUGCUGGUGGAGACCAGUG